GCAUUGAAGGAAAGUGCCUGUGGAACUCCAGGAGACUAGAAUGUCUGAUCUAAGCACCUAGGAAAGAUAUAGGCUGAUAUAGGAAUGCUCUGCUCUGAAAAAGGAGUUAUUCAGGAAUCUGGUGACUUCCCUUUUUGAAUUACCUUUGCAUGUUACUAUGGGGGCUGCCCGUUCAUCCACGUAGCCUCCGAUUCAUGUUCUGCCCCUCAUUUACUAAUUUUAAUUUGCAAAGUACUUUGCAGUGUACGAAGUGCUUUGGGAUGAUCUUAUUUUUCCUCAUGAGAAGUAACGACGACUCUGGCUUGGGCAUGAUGGGAGUUGUGGUCCAAUAGCACUUGAGAAGCCUUGGGUUAAAAAGUGGGGCUGUAGAUUGUGUCUGAAGGAUACUGGCAGGACUUGGAGAGCAGGGAGGAGAUGUGUCAGCUUGAGACUGUAAGGUGUCCUGACCCAUGUGGAGAGAGAUGAAGCCCAUUCUACCAGACUGGACAUCCGCUAUCAUCUUUGGCUGUGGCUCACCAAUCCAAUUCCUUCAUUAAGAGAUCUUUUCCCCUUUAGCUUUGCUUCCUGAAGUCCCUGCAGUAAAAAUGUUUGGGUUCAAGGUCUGGGGCCAGGUAGAGAUAAUUGAAGGAGUGUUGGCAGAGAAAUAUACCACAAAAUGCAUGUCGCAUAGCGGUUGAAUCUCUGUUCAGAAAUUACACACUAUGAGUGUAUAGUCAUUCAUGUGAAAACGUGUGAGUGUACAGAUAUCUGCACACUCAAAUGGCAUAAUGUCUGAAUAGGGCUUGAGUGGGGAAGUUCCCAGUUCAGCCCUUAUCUCCAUCAUGAAUUUGCAAUGUGACUGGGUAUCUUUUAACCUCAGGCCCCCUUCAGCAACAGUACAAUAUGGUACAGUUGCACCCUCCAAACUGAGCAAAGCGGCACCUUACAAAGUGGUACCUUUCAAAGUGGUGAUUCCCUUACCGUAUUUACCUGGAUAGAACAUGACUCUGAAUUUAAAAAACCAGAGGUUAAAUACAGGAUAUAUCUGUAUUUACUCCAAAGAAAGAGGACUCUGAAUUUAAGACACACACACACCCCGAUUUCUCACAUCAAAUAACUUAGAAAAAAACCUAGUCUUGGAUACAGCAAAGUGCUGUAUUUAGUAGGAGAGAGCAGCUAUCUCUAUCCAACCCCAGUAUAACAAUGUCUUAUGUUUCCUUUUUAGCUUGUGAGCCCUUUGGGGACAGGGAACCAUCUUAGUUAUUUUUCUGCGUUGCACUUUGAGAACUUGUUUGCUGAAAAAUGGUAUAUAAAUAUUUGUUAUAAUAAAAGCCCUACUGACCUAC